rnacentral:rRNA from 1 species
UACGUAGGGGGCAAGCGUUGUCCGGAAUCAUUGGGCGUAAAGAGCGUGUAGGCGGCUUGGUAAGUCCGCUGUGAAAGUCCAGGGCUCAACCCUGGAAAGCCAGUGGAAACUGCCAAGCUAGAGUCCGGAAGAGGCGAGUGGAACUCCUGGUGUAGCGGUGAAAUGCGCAGAUAUCAGGAAGAACACCAAUGGCGAAGGCAGCUCGCUGGGACGCGACUGACGCUGAGGCGCGAAAGCCAGGGGAGCAAACGGG